rnacentral:rRNA from 1 species
UACCGGCGGCUCGAGUGGUGGCCACUUUUAUUGGGCUUAAAGCGUCCGUAGCUGGACUCUUAAGUCUCUUGGGAAAUCUCCUGGCUUAACCAGGAGGCGUCUAAGAGAUACUGGGAGUCUAGGGACCGGGAGAGGUGAGAGGUACUCCGGGGGUAGGAGUGAAAUCCUGUAAUCCCCGGGGGACCACCUGUGGCGAAGGCGUCUCACCAGAACGGCUCCGACAGUGAGGGACGAAAGCUGGGGGAGCGAACCGGAUUAGAUACCCGGGUAGUCCCAGCCGUAAACGAUGCGCGUUAGGUGUACUGGUGACCACGAGUCACCGGGGUGCCGAAGGGAAACCGUGAAACGUGCCGCCUGGGAAGUACGGUCGCAAGGCUGAAACUUAAAGGAAUUGGCGGGGAGCACCACAACGGGUGGAGCCUGCGGUUU